rnacentral:lncRNA from 1 species
GGGGUGAACACUAGCAUGUAACUCGGGGAAAAAGAUAAAGUAAUACCAUUAAUUCAAAACCAAGUUAAGCCAAUGCGAAUAAACAUAAGCAAGUACAUAUAUACAUAUAUAUAUAGAGUUGGAAUAGGGUACAAGGUUUAGUAUGUAUUUUAAAACAUUAGCCUGGGUUGUGUAGAUAUACCAUCAUAAAUCCACCCAUGGACUAUAUGGGUCUAGUCCCUAGUGUGUGUAGCCGCACCGGAGAUAUCAUGGAUGGCCGGGUAUUCCCUUGU